CUAAAGUUGGCAGCUGAGAAUAAGGCUGGUGAAGUCGAGGCAGAAAAUUUUUGCAAGGCUUUUCAACACGUUCACAAGAAACUUGUGUAUGAGGGGCUGAGUUUUGAAGCUGCUCAGAAGUUCCUGAACUCGUGAAACUGCUGAAAAGAUAGUUCCUUGAUGGCUAGUGCCUAUCCUUUAUUGUUAGGUUCUUUUCUGUCUUCUCCCUUUCUGCAUCCUGUUAAUGAGGUUGAAGAAUCUGUUUUGGGAGAAGUUUGUGAUCAAAACCAUUCUUGUUGUGCAUUGUUAAAUGGGCCUCGUCAUACUUAAGUCAUUCGCCAUGUAACCUACAUUCAAAAGACAGUUGAAGCAUAGAUUUUCGGU